GCUUACGGCCAAAUCACUCUGAAUACGCCCGAUCUUGACGGAUCUCAGAAUGUGAGCGUGAUUGAGCCGGGUUAGUACUUGGAAAGGGGGUGACCACCAGGGCUUGCCAGAUGUUGUAGGCG
rnacentral:rRNA from 1 species